CGAAUGAAUCAGAUCUCUGCUCUACUGCAGGAUAAACACUGUAAACUCAAAGCUCUUCAGCUGCAUGGUUGUGGUCUAACAGAGAAAAGCUGUUCAGCUCUUGCUACAGUCCUGAGAUCAAACUCCAGUCUGAAAGAGCUUGACAUGAGCAACAAUCAUCUGCAGGAUUCAGGAGUGAAGAAACUCCAGAACGGAUUAGAAAAUACAAAAUGUGCACUGCAAAAACUCAGACUUUCAAACUGCAGUAUCACUGAAGAAGGUUAUAAAGCUCUGGCUUCAGCUCUGAAAUCAAACUCGCACCUGACAGAGCUGGAUCUCACAGGAAAUGAUCCUGGACAAUCAGGAGUGAAGGAGCUCAUUGAUUUACAAAAGGGAUCCACCAUUUUUUCAGUGUUUUCAU